AGAGGAAAAUUAUUUGGAAGAGAGCAGACGGCUGUGAGCAGGGAAGAGAGGCGGACAGAAAGUGUGUGUGGUGUUCGUUUCGGAUGUAUGUGUGGUACCAGCUUUGGGUCAUGUGUUGACCCCCCAAGACUUUAUUUGUGGUGCCAGCUUUGGGUCAUGUGUUGACCCCCCAAGAGUAUAUUUGUGGUGCCAGCUUUGGGUCAUGUGUUGACUCCAGCAACUAUAUUCUGAGUCGUCUAUUAGUCAAGUGUGGGCAAGACUGCACCACUGUUGGACAAGGGGCAGAGAGGAUUUUACCUAGACGUUACAAUUUUGGGUGUGAGACUUUUAGGUGACUUAUUCCCUGUCAGAAUACCUUGAAUGUCCCAAGCUUGUGGCCAGUUCUUGAGAAGACCUCAUCAACAUUGCUGUUAGGCUGGGCACAGACUUGCAUAGUAUAUUUCACUAAUGUUUUUCAGCUGUUCAUGUCUUUAUUUGAUUUAUGUUUGAAUAUGUAAACAGUGGAGAAUAUUUCAGCAAACAUGCUUAAUAAACACAUCACUUUCUCAAA